AUUGAACGCUGGCGGCAGGCUUAACACAUGCAAGUCGAACGAGUGGCGGACGGGUGAGUAAUGCUUGGGAAUCUAGCUUAUGGAGGGGGAUAACUACGGGAAACUGUAGCUAAUACCGCGUACCAUAGGAUGAGCCCAAGUGGGAUUAGGUAGUUGGUGGGGUAAAGGCUCACCUAGGCGACGAUCUCUAGCUGGUCUGAGAGGAUGUUCAGACACACUGGGACUGAGACACGGUCCAGACCCCUACGGGAGGCAGCAGUGGGGAAUAGUGCAAAAGGGGCGCAAGCCUGAGGCAGCCAGGACGCGUGUAUGAAGAAGGCCUUAGGGUUGUAAAGUACUUUCAGCGGGGAGGCGUUACCCGCAGAAGAAGCACCGGCUAACGCCGUGCCAGCAGCCGCGGUAAUUC
rnacentral:rRNA from 1 species